rnacentral:hammerhead_ribozyme from 1 species
AUCCAGCUGACCAGUCUCAAAUAAGACAAAACGCGCGCCCUGGAU